GAUGAACGCUGACAGAAUGCUUAACACAUGCAAGUCUUUGGCGAAGCUGUGCUUGCACAGCCUAGCCAAGGCGGACGGGUGAGUAACGCGUAAGGAACUUGCCCUGCAGUCAGGGAUAACAGACGGAAACGACUGAUAAGACCUGGUAAAGUCAGGCGGACUCAUGUCCAGCCUGAUGAAAAGUGAUGCUGCAGGAGAGCCUUGCGUCCUAUUAGCUUGUUGGUGGGGUAACGGCCCACCAAGGCGAUGAUAGGUAGCCGGCCUGAGAGGGUGGACGGCCACAAGGGGACUGAGAUACGGCCCUUACUCCUACGGGAGGCAGCAGUGGGGAAUAUUGGACAAUGGGGGCAACCCUGAUCCAGCAAUUCUGUGUGCACGAUGAAGGUUUUCGGAUUGUAAAGUGCUUUCAACAGGGAAGAAAAAAAUGACGGUACCUGCAGAAGAAGCGACGGCUAAAUACGUG
rnacentral:rRNA from 1 species